GACGAACGCUGGCGGCGUGCUUAACACAUGCAAGUCGAACGGUAAGGCCCUUCGGGGUACACGAGUGGCGAACGGGUGAGAAACACGUGGGUGAUCUGCCCUGCACUUCGGGAUAAGCCUGGGAAACUGGGUCUAAUACCGGAUAGGACCACUGCCUGCAUGGGUGGUGGUGGAAAGCUUUUGCGGUGUGGGAUGGGCCCGCGGCCUAUCAGCUUGUUGGUGGGGUGAUGGCGUACCAAGGCGACAACGGGUAGCCGGCCUGAGAGGGUGACCGGCCACACUGGGACUGAGAUACGGCCCAGACUCCUACGGGAGGCAGCAGUGGGGAAUAUUGCACAAUGGGCGCAAGCCUGAUGCAGCGACGCCGCGUGAGGGAUGACGGCCUUCGGGUUGUAAACCUCUUUCAGCACCGACGAAGCGCAAGUGACGGUAGGUGCAGAAGAAGGACCGGCCAACUACGUGCCAGCCGCCGCUGUAA
rnacentral:rRNA from 1 species